GAAUGUUUUUCUUGCUGAUCUGUGAAGACCCCAGAAGACUGUAGCGAUCCGUUUUCAUGAACAUGAGGCAUCAGUUCCUGCUAUCUUGGCAAAAGUCCAAGAUGCUAUUGGAUCAGAAGAUGGUAUGAUACUGACUGAUGGCCAGGGGAAUGAAAUUCUCCAUACAGAGGGAACAAAAGAUAACUGCAAAAGAUGAGAUUGACUACAAGCUGUUUUAAAAAAUCUAAGAAAAACACAAUGAAAACAACAGUAAGGUCAGAGAAAUGUAAUACCAGUUGAUAAAAAAAAAGUUCUAUACACCUAAACAAUAUAAAUAUGAUUUUAAAAAUUUGUGAAAUAAAGGGUUUAAUUCACAUAAAAAUAUGAUACACAUUAAAAUGACCUGAAUUUUUCUGACCCUCAAAAAGUUAAAGAAAAAUGAUCAGGUUCCGAUUGAUGAAGCCUUGAUAGAGGGCAAAAAGCACAUUGAAAGCAGCUUGUUUUGGUGUCUGCAUUUUAGAAGUGUUGUUUUCCUAUUAUAAAAUCUUGACAUAAUUCAUCUUUUAAAAUACAAAUGAUUUCCCCAGGAUCAGCUUACUGGAAACAAAAUUCUAGGAAGGUUUUUGCUGUGCCUGAACAACAGUUCUUGGAUAUGAGAUCCAAAAGGAGAAGAUUAAGCCAACGGGAUGAUGACAGCCAGCUACCAGAGGUCUUAGAAAGAACUGAAGAGGUGGUGUUGGCAUCCCAAAAACUGCCAGAGGUUGCACAGGCCAUCAGAGGCUUAUCUGAGCUGACGCUGGCACGCAGACGUUUUAUUACAUUCACGGACGAAGAACGUGCAGCUAUUAAAAAUGCAUUUGCUUGCAUACUUUGCAAAGGGCCCAUGAAUGAUCCUGUUUUUGCAGUUUGCUGUCAGAGUCUCAUUGCAUGCAAAGUGUGCUUUGAGCAGUGGCAGUGAAAUGCCAACACCUGUGUGAAAUGCAGAGGAGACAACUCAAGGGAAAACACCUACAGAGUCCCAGGAAUUGAUGGUGCAUUGUCUGCUUUUGGUGAUCUUAUCAAAGAUUAAAUACAGUGGGAAAGAAAAGCUGUAUACCUGUUACAAGUGUCACACGUUAAGAAGUUUCAUGGCACUACUACGGCAGCUCUUUAUUAGUUACUGGUGUUUGUUACACGUUAAGAGUAAAUAUACUCUUGAAUAUACAGUAAAAAAAGUUAUUACUGUUCAGUUAUUGACUUAAAAGUGAGAAGCACUACAGGCAGCACUUUUUCUGCUUUAAUCAGAGUAAUUAUAUACAUUAUAUACAAUGUAAGUUAUAUACCAAAUAUCACUGUUUAAGUGUCAAGUUCAACUUUUGAAGUAAAAUGCAGCACUGGAUAACACUUUAUUAAAGCUUUAAUGUGACAGUUUUAUACCUCAAAUUACAGCAUUGUUUUAAUACAAUUGAUAAUGCCUAUGUUUAAAAGACUUGCUGUUUAUUUUUGUACUUUGUACAAUUAUUGUACACAGAAAUAUGUAAUAAAUGUUAGUUUUAUGAUGAAUGUCUUGUUCCU
ensembl:lncRNA